rnacentral:rRNA from 1 species
AUUGAACGCUGGCGGUAUGCCUUACACAUGCAAGUCGAACGGCAGCACGGUCAUAGCUUUCUCGUAGGGUGGCCGAGGGGCGGGUGGUGGAGGAAUACAUCGGCAUCUACUUUUGCUAGGGGGGCAACGGCGGGAAUCAUACGCUAUUCCACCUUAGGGCCUAAGGGGGGAAGCGAAAGGCCUUCGGCUCUUGCGGCAUCCAAUGAGCGGAUGUCGGAUUAGCUAGUUGGUGGGGUAAAGGCGCACCAAGGCGACGAUCCGUAGCUGGUCUGAGAGGACGACCAGCCACACUGGGACUGAGACACGGCCCAGACUCCUACGGGAGGCAGCAGUGGGGAAUAUUGGACAAUGGGGGCAACCCUGAUCCAGCCAUGCCGCGUGCGGGAAGAAGGCCUUCGGGUUGUAAAGCGCUUUUGUUCGGGAAGAAAACCACUAGGCUAAUACCCCGGUGGUAUGACGGUACCGAAAGAAUAAGCACCGGCUAACUUCGUG